rnacentral:misc_RNA from 1 species
CUGUGCUCCGGUACUACGUUUUUCUUCUUCAAAACCACUGUUGUUCUCCCAACAAUAUCAAGAUAUGAAUAACUCGUCUCUAGGUGUUGCUCCACAGGAAAAGAAACUUCAGCUGAAGGGUUUUUGGAUCCCUCCGGAAGCACUACUUUAAUGGUCAACUCAUCAACCGCCGUCUCAAGGAGAGGGCAACCAAAACUGAAGUUCAGGUACCGUUUGCCAUCAAGGGACUCAAACAGAAAAUCUUGCAAAG